rnacentral:rRNA from 1 species
CGGCAGCACGGGUGCUUGCACCUGGUGGCGAGUGGCGAACGGGUGAGUAAUAUAUCGGAACGUACCCUAGAGUGGGGGAUAACGCAGCGAAAGUUGCGCUAAUACCGCAUACGAUCUACGGAUGAAAGUGGGGGAUCGCAAGACCUCAUGCUCAUGGAGCGGCCGAUAUCUGAUUAGCUAGUUGGUGGGGUAAAAGCCUACCAAGGCAUCGAUCAGUAGCUGGUCUGAGAGGACGACCAGCCACACUGGAACUGAGACACGGUCCAGACUCCUACGGGAGGCAGCAGUGGGGAAUUUUGGACAAUGGGCGCAAGCCUGAUCCAGCAAUGCCGCGUGAGUGAAGAAGGCCUUCGGGUUGUAAAGCUCUUUUGUCAGGGAAGAAACGGUGAGGGCUAAUAUCCUUUGCUAAUGACGGUACCUGAAGAAUAAGCACCGGCUAACUACGUGCCAGCAGCCGCGGUAAUACGUAGGGUGCAAGCGUUAAUCGGAAUUACUGGGCGUAAAGCGUGCGCAGGCGGUUAUGUAAGUCAGAUGUGAAAUCCCCGGGCUCAACCUGGGAAUGGCAUUUGAGACUGCAUGGCUAGAGUGUGUCAGAGGGGGGUAGAAUUCCACGUGUAGCAGUGAAAUGCGUAGAGAUGUGGAGGAAUACCGAUGGCGAAGGCAGCCCCCUGGGAUAACACUGACGCUCAUGCACGAAAGCGUGGGGAGCAAACAGGAUUAGAUACCCUGGUAGUCCACGCCCUAAACGAUGUCUACUAGUUGUCGGGACUUAAUUGUCUUGGUAACGCAGCUAACGCGUGAAGUAGACCGCCUGGGGAGUACGGUCGCAAGAUUAAAACUCAAAGGAAUUGACGGGGACCCGCACAAGCGGUGGAUGAUGUGGAUUAAUUCGAUGCAACGCGAAAAACCUUACCUACCCUUGACAUGUACGGAACCUCUGAGAGAUUAGAGGGUGCUCGAAAGAGAGCCGUAACACAGGUGCUGCAUGGCUGUCGUCAGCUCGUGUCGUGAGAUGUUGGGUUAAGUCCCGCAACGAGCGCAACCCUUGUCAUUAGUUGCUACGAAAGGGCACUCUAAUGAGACUGCCGGUGACAAACCGGAGGAAGGUGGGGAUGACGUCAAGUCCUCAUGGCCCUUAUGGGUAGGGCUUCACACGUCAUACAAUGGUACAUACAGAGGGCCGCCAACCCGCGAGGGGGAGCUAAUCCCAGAAAGUGUAUCGUAGUCCGGAUUGUAGUCUGCAACUCGACUACAUGAAGUUGGAAUCGCUAGUAAUCGCGGAUCAGCAUGUCGCGGUGAAUACGUUCCCGGGUCUUGUACACACCGCCCGU